rnacentral:rRNA from 1 species
UACAGAGGUCCCAAGCGUUGUUCGGAUUCACUGGGCGUAAAGGGUGCGUAGGCGGUCGGGUAAGUCUGAUGUGAAAUCUCACAGCUUAACUGUGAAACUGCGUUGGAUACUAUCCGGCUCGAGGAAUGGAGGGGAGACUGGAAUACUUGGUGUAGCAGUGAAAUGCGUAGAUAUCAAGUGGAACACCAGUGGCGAAGGCGAGUCUCUGGACAUUUCCUGACGCUGAGGCACGAAAGCCAGGGGAGCAAACGAG